rnacentral:rRNA from 1 species
GACAGAGGGUGCAAACGUUGUUCGGAUUUACUGGGCGUAAAGCGCGUGUAGGCGGCUUUGCAAGUCGGAUGUGAAAGCCCACGGCUCAACCGUGGAAGUGCAUCCGAAACUGCAUGGCUGGAGUCUCGGAGAGGAAGGUGGAAUGCUUGGUGUAGAGGUGAAAUUCGUAGAUAUCAAGCAGAACACCUGCGGCGAAGGCGGCCUUCUGGACGAUGACUGACGCUGAGACGCGAAAAGCGUGGGGAGCAAACAGG